ACGGGUGAGUAACGCGUGGGUAACCUGCCUUAUACAGGGGGAUAACAGUUGGAAACGACUGCUAAUACCGCAUAAGCGCACAGUGCUGCAUGGCACGGUGUGAAAAGAUUUAUCGGUAUAAGAUGGACCCGCGUCUGAUUAGCUAGUUGGUGAGGUAAUGGCUCACCAAGGCGACGAUCAGUAGCCGGCUUGAGAGAGUGAACGGCCACAUUGGGACUGAGACACGGCCCAAACUCCUACGGGAGGCAGCAGUGGGGGAUAUUGCACAAUGGGGGAAACCCUGAUGCAGCGACGCCGCGUGAGUGAAGAAGUAUUUCGGUAUGUAAAGCUCUAUCAGCAGGGACGAAGAAAUGACGGUACCUGACUAAGAAGCCCCGGCUAACUACGUGCCAGCAGCCGCGGUAAUACGUAGGGGGCAAGCGUUAUCCGGAUUUACUGGGUGUAAAGGGAGCGUAGACGGUGAUGUAAGUCAGAUGUGAAAGCCCAGGGCUCAACCCUGGGACUGCAUUUGAAACUAUGUGACUAGAGUGCAGGAGAGGUAAGUGGAAUUCCUAGU
rnacentral:rRNA from 1 species